CUCUUGGCUGUGAAAAUAUGAUAUAUGCUGUGAAUUCUUCAGGCAUCUUUGUUUUGUUGCACUUGGUUAAUAAGGAUUUUGUUUCUAGAAACCUGUUCUUUCCCUUUCAUGGUGUGCCAAUCUUUGCAGUGUAUACUUAUGCAUUGGGGCUGUAGUACUCAAUUCCUUUUUCAGCCAGUUUAUGUUCUCAUGUUCUUUUCCUGUUGCUCUGACUUCAGCAUGAUCAUGUUCUUCCCCUCCCCCUGACUGUUAUAUGCUCCACUCAUCUCCUCUCUGUGUUGCUCUUGUUCAGCUUCCUCAUUACUCUCUCGCUCCUCUGUUUGUGUGGGUGUGCAUUAAUAGGCGGGACUUUUCGCUGCUCAUCUGUGAUUGGCUGGCACAGACCUACAAGGGCUGGCUGAACACUCUGUAUAGUGCAAGAGAAAGCACAGAAGGAGGAGGGGGGGGAGAACUCCAGCAAGCUGGGGUCAGGGGAGAGUGGAGAUGGAGUGCGUGGGUGUUUUUGUUUUGAGAUGGCAGGAGAGGGAUGAGUCUACUGGUCUGUCAGCGGUGUCCUGAGCUCAUAGGCCUUGACUUCACUGCUGGCUCUUCUCCUGCCAAGGCAGCUACCAUUCUACCGCUCUUCUUCCGUUCCGGUUCUGCUGUGUGCAGCUGAGCUUCCUGCUUUUCUUCCUUUUGCGGCUCUCGCUGCCCUCGCACCCAAAUGCAGCCCACCCCUUGCUCUCUGAGCAUGAGCUUCUGUUAGGGUGGAGGUGCUGCCAGGGAUGCCGUCGCUGCUACCCCCUGCAAGAAUCCUUCCGAAAAAUACCAGCGUAGGAAACGGGGAAUAGCCUUCUUUGGUGAUGAGUCUUGGAAAAUGCCAUCUGACCAUCUGGAGCUGUGUGUUUCAGAAGACCACCAGGCUCCCAAGUGCUCCAUCUCAUUUGUCGUGUUCCAUCCUGACUGAUAUGAUCAUCUUUGUUUUGUCUCGCACACAUUUUCAGAUACCAGAAUAGGCACAGUGUGCUUUCUGACUAACCUAGGCUACCAUCUGCACUUGCAUUGAUUAAAAAAAAAA